CAGCCGCCACGGGAAUACAGAGGGUGCAAGCGUUAAUCGGAUUUACUGGGCGUAAAGGGCGCGUAGGUGGUUAUGUAAGUGAGAUGUGAAAUCCCCGGGCUCAACCUGGGAACUGCAUCUUAUACUGCGUAGCUGGAGUGCAGUAGAGGGUAGUGGAAUUUCCGGUGUAGCGGUGAAAUGCGUAGAUAUCGGAAGGAACACCAGUGGCGAAGGCGGCUACCUGGACUGACACUGACACUGAGGCGCGAAAGCGUGGGGAGCAAACAGGAUUAGAUACCCGCGUAGUCCCUGUCUCUUAUAC
rnacentral:rRNA from 1 species